GUAGAGACGCAGCAAACGGCUCAGUAACACGUGGCUAACCCACCUUUAGGACGGGCACAACCCCGGGAAACUGGGGCUAAUGCCUGAUAGGUGAGGACGCCUGGAAUGACCCUUCACCCAAAGGGUGCUGAAACCAUGCAUACAGCAUCGCCUAAAGACGGGGCCGCGACCGAUCAGGCAGUUGGCGAGGUAAAGGCUCACCAAACCUAUAACCGGUACGGGCCGUGAGAGCGGGAGCCCGGAGAUGGGCACUGAGACAAGGGCCCAGGCCCUACGGGGCGCAGCAGUUACGAAACCUCCACAAUGCGCGAAAGUGCGAUGGGGCUACCCCGAGUGCCGUCCGCUGAGGAUGGCUUUUCCUUAGCGUAAUGAACUAGGGGAAUAAGGAGAGGGCAAGACUGGUGUCAGCCGCCGCGGUAAUACCAGCUCUCCGAGUGGUAGGGAUGAUUAUUGGGCUUAAAGCGUCCGUAGCCGGCUCAACAAGUCUCCUGUCUAAUCCAACGACCUAAUCGCUGGACUGCAGGAGAUACUGCUGGGCUAGGGGACGGGAGAGGCCGACGGUAUUUCCGGGGGAGGGG
rnacentral:rRNA from 1 species